rnacentral:rRNA from 1 species
UACGGGGGGGGCAAGCGUUGUUCGGAAUUACUGGGCGUAAAGGGCUCGUAGGCGGCCAACUAAGUCCGACGUGAAAUCCCCAGGCUUAACCUGGGAACUGCGUCGGAUACUGGUUGGCUUGAAUCCGGGAGAGGGAUGCGGAAUUCCAGGUGUAGCGGUGAAAUGCGUAGAUAUCUGGAGGAAUACCGGUGGCGAAGGCGGCAUCCUGGACCAUUACUGACGCUGAGGCGCGAAAGCUAGGGGAGCAAACGGG